AGUGAGAUCCUUUUACACCUGACUAAUUCUGCUGCUGUUAUUCAGUGCUGCUUUCACACCACUUCCCGAGUCUGCCAAGACACCCUUGAACCUGUUUAGAAAAGGCUAGGAUGCUAAUUAAGAAAAGCUAUUUUUUCCCCCCUAACCUGAGGGAGAAAUGUAAAAAGGUGCACGAGCAGGGGUUGGAUCUAUUAUUAUUCUUGUUUUUUUUUUCCUGCUCUGCAAUGUAUGUCCUGCUUUUCCCAGGGGAGCAUGCUGCUCCUGCAGGUCCUGUGUGCCGGAGUGGAUACGGGACAGGAGGUUAAUUUGUAGCCCUGCGAUGCACGAGCUUUCCCUUUGCACAAAUAUUGAUAUAAGGCUGUUCGAAUAUCCGUCCUGACCGUAAUAGCAGCAGGGUGAUACUGCUGCGGGAGAUGUGCAAGGACGUCGGAGGGGAGGAGAACGGGGAAAGGAAGGAGAGGUUGGUAGGAGCUGCGGGUGGGGAAUCCAUGUUCCCUGCCUCUUUUCCUUAAAUAUCUUCUUAAAUAUCUUCGUCUUGACAUCUCCCUCACCGGGCUGGGCAAUAUUUCAAAGAAGGGGAAAGCUCCCACCGCCUCUGCUCCACAGCAAAGCUCUCCAGAAUUCCUUCUCCGUGAACAAUAAUGAAAAACCUUUGUAGAUUAGCUGAUUAGUCAGCUCCCCUAAUUAGCUAAUUGCUCCAUUCUGCUUUCACUUGUGCUUUUAUGUCCUUCUCCAAACCUUGGGCUGAAGGAACGAUGCCCCUGCCUCCUGUGCCAGGGCUCCAGCACUGCCUUACGCAGCUGUACCCUCGCCUGUCCCUCCGAGCUGCCACCAUCCAUCCCCGUUAGACUCCAGUCCCUCUUUGUGUUUUGUGGGACAUCUUUCUGUUGCCUGAAAUCCCGUGGGUUUUUCCCAAAGCUGCAGAAGGGGAUGUGCUGUCUCUUGGGCAAUGGGUGAAGGUGGCUGGCUGCAGAUCUUGGGGCAUGGUGACGGUCAUGGCAGGACAGACCAGAUAUUUUCAAAAUACAAGGUCCUGUCUCUGAUAGAGGCAAUCCUGUGUGAUCAGAAAACUGUGUAAGUAGAGGGCAAACAGUGGUGAUAUUUCUCCAGAAUGCUUGUCCGGCCUCCCAUGGUUUGCAGACCAGGGGCCUCCUCACCCAUAAGCACUGUGUUUGUACAUUAGAGGCUCAGCAAACACGCUUUCAGCAGAAAAAAUCCAUUUUUGUCAUUUUUUAAUGAACUCUUAGGAGCUCUUAGCAGCCACAGAUCAUCUGUUGAAGAGGCUCAUGGCUUGGAGACGCUCUGAGUAGAGUGAGCGAGCUCAUUUUGUUUGUUUUGAACCUGUGAGCUUCUUCUGGGGCUCCUAGUCCUUGCUCCAGGAGAGGUGAAAACAGCUUUUCUUGUGCUCCUCAGAUCUCUGUUGUAUUCCUUUCGAAGACUGAAGAGCCCUGACCUAGUGUUCCUCAUUCCUUUGAUCAUGGGAUUGCCAGUUUCCGAAGCUCGUAUUCUCUGGAUCCGUGCUGUAGCAACGUCCUGACGAAGGGCCCAGCAAGAGUCUGAGAGAUGAUCCUGUCUGUGGCCAGGGGCAGGAGCCCCCCUGCCUCCUGCCUUUCCCAUUUACUCAUAGAAAUGAAGUCUGUGGCGCAAGACCCUUAAGCUGGUUAGACACUUGAGGCUCCAAAGUCCUUAAGCACAUUAGCAGCUGGAGGUCCAUUAUUAUUCAUUGAAUCUCUCCGGGGCCGAUUGGAAUCCUCCUUUUAAUUGUCUGCAUCCCCCUCUCUCCUUUUAUCAGGCAAGAAAGAAAGAAAGAGGGCGAGAGUUGGGUUAUCUCAUUACCCAUCCGGACCCCGAAAUGGGACACGCGCCUGAAUCUGCUCUUCCCCAGCAGUUCAAGGAGGGAGGGUGGCCUGUUUUACAUAUUAAUGGCAAAAUUACAACCCUCCCCUCCCCACACACACCUCCUGCAUAUCUCCCUCAGCACGCUGCAGUUAAUAACUCACACUUCAUUAGCACGUCUGUGUGGCCUCGUGGUGCUUCCCUUCUGCCGAUGAAGAGAUACCGGGGAGGCUUAGAGGGCUGGGAAUUGGGGCAGGACAAGCCGAAACAGCUGCUGAGAUCAAUUGGGCCGGAUGGGAAGCUAAUGAGCUUUUGGUGCAUGGGACUUUUCAGUGUUCCCGUGCAUAUUUACUGUGGCAGCCAGCGCAGAGCAAAGGCACCAGGGGCCACAGCUCCUCAAGAGCUGGGAGGGAACCAGAGAAGACCCCCAGAUUGAUCACCAGCAGCAGAGAUGGUUGUAUAAUCCCAUUGCCCAAGGAGGUGGACCAGGGCAGGAAGACUGUUGUGGCCAUCACAGCCCUCUGCCCAGCUGGAGCAAGGUACAUGGGGACACCAAAGCCCAUCUGAGCAUCAUUUGUUGGCACAAGGAGCUGUUCCUCCUUGCACAACCCCAGUGGACGUCAUCAGUGCCCUGCAUUUGCAGGUGAAGCACCGAACUAGCAUGUUGUGAAGCUCCAAGCCACCAGCAGGAGCAGCUUUGAAGAAGGGGGUUAAAUGAAACCCACCCUGGGAGGAGCAGGCCGUACAAGUCCUUCUGCCAGCGUAAAGAAUUUUACAUCGGGAAACUCAUCUCUCGAGCUCGGUUCUCCACACACUGAAACAUUAAUCAACUUUUGAACCGUGUCCCGUAUGAAAUAUUCAUCUUUUCUCCUUGUGAAAAACAAACCAGAACCCCCAGCUAUCUUCAAAGCUGUCUUGUGGUGCUCCAUGCUCUGAUCCUUUAGGAAUUGCUGUGUCAUUUCCACCUAAGUUUAUUCUGUGACUGCUGGAGAGAGAGCUAAAAAUCACUUCCAGAGUGGCUUCGCUGGUGUGUCUGGCUUCGCGAGACAAAUGCUUUUUGGCUUAGAAUUUGCUGGCCAGACCCCGGCCAGUUAUAUUUCCAUUAAGGAGAGAAAAGGGGUUUAAUGCCAUUUUCAAACCUAAUUUCAUGGGUAGCCAAUUCACGCUGUGAUCCAGUGGCAGGUGAUUUCUUUAUUAAAACGUCUGAAAAGAAGGCAGCUUAGAUCAGCCAUCCUUGAAAGGGGAAAGACCAUCCUGCCAGCCCUUCAAAGGCCGGAGGGAAAGUCUUUUUGGGAAGCACGGGAGCUGUGAGCCUCGUGGGGAUGGUCCUGCCUUUCAUGGAGACGUGCGAACACAGCCCCAGCAUGGAUCUUCCUCUGAAACUUACUCAGCUAUGUGCCCUUGGAUAACAGCCUUUUCCCUAACAAAUAACUGCUAAAAAAAAAAAAAAGGCUUAAGAAAAAAUAAUAAAAGGGGAAAAAAAAAACAUUAUAAAAUGUAGCUUCCAUUAGCAGACCGUAAGGCACUUUUAGAAACGUUGAGUGAAUGGAGUCUUUCCCUUGCCCUAUCUGGGGUAAACAAAUCCAUCCUGUCCUUCAGCUUGAUCUUGCAGUAAUGUCAUAAUCCCACCUUUAUUACAUCACUGUUGUCAUGGAAAUAACUGUGAUUUCAUAAAGUCUCCAUAAUGACUUUACCACAAGAUCCAUUAGGAUGGGAAGAUGGAUUGUGAAGGCUAGAAAAAUGCUUUCUUUAAGCAAAUGCAUGCUGGAUAAUUAGCAAAUGCAGCAAGGGGAAAGAAUGGAAAUUUGAUGGAGAUAAAUAAAUGGAUCCAUCCUUAACAUGGGCUAUUUAUGAACGUUUUCCUUGAUUCAGUUUCAGAUGGCACAAAGGCACUAUCAUAAUAUUCCUGGUGAAGUCUAAAAGUCCUAUACUUCAGAGCAUAGCCAACACAUGUUGAACAAGAAGUCGGUUCCUGCCCCAGCGAGUUAUCCUCAGCCUUUCGAGGUCCCCCAGAUUUUGGAAUAACUUUUGAACAACUGGACGCUUUUAGGCUUCCACUGGUGUCCCGAGAGCCACCCAAGGUGUGGUGGGACCAGGUGCCUGAAUGGUCCCAGGAGGAAGAUGAUGGAAGAUGGCAAAGAAACCUCUUGGGCUUGCAUCCCAUGAUCAGGUGUUGGAGGAAGAAGGCUGCCUUAACUCCCUCAGACUGUUUGGAGGAGCGAUAUUGAGCACAAUUUCUUGCUGGGCAUCAGGCAUGUGUGAGAGAUGAGCGGCUCGGCGCAUUGCUUGCCCUCCUGGUGUUGUUGGCUGGAAGCAAAGGAAGCCCCGGCCGUGCUCCAUCCAUUCCCGGCUCCAGCAGGGUGCUGCAGCCCACCGGAGCUCCUAUGUGAAAUCUCUCCCAGCUACGCUGUGCUAUCCCAGUUCCAAGGUGCUCUGGGAGGGUCCAAGGCUUCGCCCACAGCGAUGCCCCCCAGUGACUGCCAAGUCAAGCAGGUUCCCUGAGCCCACCUCUACUUCCAACCUCCCCCCCUAGCAGGGCAUCGGCCAAAAAAUCCAGGCACCAGGAGGAGCAGGAAAGGCUCCAGCCCCGUUAACCUUCAGGAGCUUGGCUUCCCACACUUUCCCUACCAGAGGUGGGAGAGAGGACUUGGGGAAGGUGGCCCUUCACCAGCACGUGUCCCUCAACCUGGAGCUAGAAGGUGGGGACAAGCCCCACUACGAAUUGCUGCCUGGCUAUCAAUAACCGCUCCAACACAGGCUGCCUGAGCUGGUGGCCGGGCUCUGUUCCUGGAGAGUGCACUUUUAUUUAAUAAAACAGCGCUGCAUACAAAUGAAAAGACCCGCUUGUGACUUAAAGCUCAAAGCUGCUCACCUGAGAGCUGAUUUCCAAGCAGAAGUAACCUCUUUUGGGGAGGAAAGGACCUCCUCGCCUGGAUGAAAGCGUCUCACCAUCAUAACCACCAUGUUCUUAAGGGGUUCAGAUAAAGCUCAGAGGCCACAAGCCCAGAAUAAAAAUACAGCAGAGACACUUGGAGAAAAGGAACUGACAGGACAAACAGCCAUGGGAAAUCCUGGAAAGACACCGAAGUCCCGCAGGAAGGAGGCACCCGGAUGGGCUGAGGACAGAUCCUGGCACCCCUGCUCUGAACUGGGAAGUUCUAGGGGUUUUCCCGAAUAUUCACGUGUGUGCAAGCAGGGUUCAGCGUCCCUGCUUACAGACAGCACUGGUGCCUACUUCUGCUGUGCUUGUUUUUUUUUUUUUUCCCCAGCUCGCAGCCUCAGUGCCAAAGCAGAAAGGACGGGCUGAGUGAAGAGGGAUGAGUGCUACCAGAAGGAGAAAAACCCCUCUGGUCAGCACAGGCCCCCUGGGGGCUCCACCAGCAUGUGCUGGUGUAUGUAUUUAGGUUUGGGGUUAGCUUUGCCCCCCCCAGCCCCAGCAGGGGACCCAGCACCACGGUGCCCGGGGUGAUGGCUUAAUACAGGAGGCCCUUGCUUAGGGCCCCGUUGGGUGGGCUGAUAACGCCGCCACAAUGUGGAGAGGGAAAUGAAAGCAAGGGAGAGGUGGAGGUUUAAUUGGGUAAUUCUCGCUGGAGCAGCUCUGGUGUAAGCAGGCAGAACCCCACCUGCAUCUUUACAUGGUUUUGCAUGUUAACAAGGCCUGCGUCCCGUCAGGAGGCUGGCGGGGUGUGAGGGGUGAUUAAACCCGGCAAUAAUAGCAUGAAGCUGGCUACUGGGAGUAGAAUGGAACAACCUAAAAUGUCCGGCUUGUUUAUUUUCCCCCCAUUACUUAUCCCAAACAACCCGAAUGGAUGGAUUCCUCUCUGCCAAGGCCGGGCUGAGCUGAGCACAGGCGUUAAGCUGGGUGGGAAAGACCUGCCAGAGCACAGGUCAGGGACAAAUGCUGAAUAUAUUUAUAUAUCACUGGCAAUUUCUGGAAUUCUUCCCAUCCUAGACAACCUGACAUUCAGUUUGCUGAACUCCAUCCUGCAUUUGAAUGGCCGCAGGUGUAAAAGCAAGGCGCUCGUCCCUGGAAGCACCAAGACGUCCCCCGAGGAGGUUUAGCCCCAAGUGCUUUAUUUAUCUCCCAACCCCGUGCUGUUCUCAGACUGGGAAGGGACUCAGAAAAUCCCUCGGGUCUGUGAUCCAGACGUAAUUUUUAGCCAGAUUUCCCAAGGAAAACGACUGCUGGUGCAGUCGUGGCUGUCAGCGUGUGAGCGUCUGGCUGCUUGCCAGCGCCCGUUUCAGCCCUUCUGACCCUGUGGCCUGGUUUGGGGCAGUUUGGAGAGGGUUUGAGGUCUCAGAACAGGACAGAUCCCACAAGAUCUGUAAGCACAGCAUUAGUUUAGCAUCAGUAGGGAACACCCUGGUCCCCCAAACCCAUUCCUGGUCACUGGUAGCUCCCCUUGGCAAACACGGCCAGAAGGCUUUGCGCCACAUGUCCCUGCUCCUGGCCAGCCUUGUUUUAAGGUCAGGAGGCCAAAAUGAAGUGGCCAGCAUGCUCCUACGCUUGUCAGCUUUACCCAACAUGAGGCUUUGGUUGCAGAUAGAGACAUGGAGCCCUGCUUCAGCAGAAGAACAGCAGUCAGAGGCAUGCCCUUGACUUCACUGCCACCUGGGCUUAUUGCAUGCUGGAAAAAGCUGCCAGACGCUUGCUUGUACAAAGCUGGGGGAAAACUGCACCACAUUGCCAUCCCACCCUGGGAGCACCCGCCACAUCCGCAGGAGCCCCACGGCCACGCAGUGUCCCCAAGCUCCAGGUGGCUUCAGGCAGCAGCAGAAGCAGCAGCAAACAAAACCACACCAGGACGCCUGGUCCGAGACCCCGGCCCCACCGCACCGCGCCCUUUCCGGGUCCAUGCUGGCUGCCCCGGUGCUGUUGGCAGGUAUAUUGCGGGAGGAAGCUUGCCUCGGCCUCCGAGAGCGCCGGGUGUCGCUCCCAGGGGAUGCUCGCAGCGCCGGGCAGUGACACGCAUUGUUAGCGAGGCCAGGCUGCAUCAAGGAAAACAAGUGGAGUGACACUUGGCCAUCAGUGAUUCCUCCCCCUCGCUCAUAAGUCUGUCAGCCCUUUCAGCUGGAUUGUCAAAAUAUGUUUGUCACAGAACAAUUCCUACUCUUUUUUUUUCUUUUUUUUCCCCCUUUUCAGACUCUGGCUGAACUCAUCCAUUUGGAACAAAACCCAAUAUUCAUUUCCUCUCUGGGCAGUUUAUUUUAUUAUUGGCUCACCUGCUCCCAAGCUUGAAAAGCUAUAAGACUAGCUGGGUCUUCAAAAUUAAAUUCUGCUGGGUUUUUGGUGUGUUUUUUCUUUUUUUUUCUUUUUUUUUUUUUUUUUCCCUAGUCUCACAUAUUCCAUGGCUGCAGGUUACUGGCAGGGAUUUGGAGAUGUACUUGGCAAAAGUGCUUUCUGUCUGGGAUGGGGAUGAGCAAAACAGGAAGCCUGUUUCUCUCUGAACCAGCAUCUUUCCAAGGGCUGGAGCUGUUUUGGAGCAGGACAGGCCUUAGCUGUGCUUUGGGUGGUGGCGAGGCGGAGCUGGGGGCACCCAAACCGUCCCAGCACCCAGAGCGGGUGCAUCCAGCACCUCUCACGCUCAGCGCACCCUCCCUGGAUGCAUAGGGCUGGUGGGAGUGGAGCGAGGACAAUUUGCUGGUGGAAAACCUCCUUCUGGUGCCACCCCCAGUUUCCCUGCCUCCAACAGCACAGCUGGCUCACAUUUAAGGACUCAGGAGCUCCCAAUUAGUCACUUUGGGGUUAAACUCCCCAUCUCUCCAUGUAUAGGUGAUGCCAUCUUCCUUCUACAGCCAGACAAGUGAGGCCCAAAGGCAGGAAAAACCCCCAGAUUGCAGCUUUCACUUUCAGGGACACAUUCCCUGCCUCCUUUGCCUGCACCCCCAGGUUUUGUGUGUGGCUUUUCCGUGGGAACCCUGCCAGAGAUGCUCACUCCCUGCAGACAUUGGCGGCGGUGCGGGAGCCAGGAGCUGACCUCACCAUUUCUCAGCAGGAAACCAGUCACCAGCAACUGCUGUUCCCACUGAUCUCAUGCUGUGGGAGACCUGUCCCGUCUCACCUGGAAAUGCCAGCAGCCAGACAAAAGCUGCUUUAACCCGGAGAGCUAUUUCUAGCCUGGAUGCAUGUUGUACCGGGAAGCUUAUUCCUUGGUCCCGUGGUGCGGCCAUGUGGGCUCCCCGGGAUGGGAGCACCCCAAGCAUCCCCAGCACCACGAGAAGCAUCCAAACCCGCCUGCCUGCCACGUGUUGGAACAAGAAAAGCAAUCACGGCUGAAAAUGAGAGGAAAGGGAGGUGUGAAGGAAAGGCUGGUGGGUGUCAGACAGGCUCCCCGCUCAGGGCAGUAGAAGAAGCAGAUGGGGUGAUUUUAUUCAUUUUGGGGCAGAAGGAGGCAAUUUCCUCCCUGUGAGCACCUGGAGGGCACAGCUGAUGAAUAGGACUCUUCCACCCGUGCAAAGCUCAGGAGGGUUUUUUUUAUCCGGGGCUGCUCCAUUAACGCAAACAGACAGCGACGCUGGCUGCUGACACCGGGGUUAAUUAAAUCCAUCUCUCCAUCAAUUCUUAUUCAACUAUUAUCGAUGGUCAUUAGAUCAGCGACAAAGUGACAAGCAAACGGUAAUAGACUCAUCUUAACCCUUGUGGUGCUGGAGAAGGGCAGCGGGAUGAGGAGUGGGGGGGCUGCUGGUAGUAGUUAAUGGGUAUGGGGCUGGUUCACCCCUCUCCGGUACGUGCUGCUGUUUCUUUUUGUGGGGUUCGGGCUUCUUUCUUUGUGCAGCUCUUUACGUUGGCUGUUAACACCUGCAGGAGCCACAAUGUGCUUGAGAGCAGCUGAAGAGAUGCUUGCAAGUUAGACGAACCACUCAUUCCUUGGGAAAAAGUAUGCACGAAAGAAAUGGACAGAAAAACUAAGGCUGGACAUCCCAAGGCAUGGUGCCGGAGAGGGACCUGGUAGGUGCUCACGAUCCGGCCUUGCUCGGCGUUCUGAACUGCGUGCGUCCCUCGCUUCUUGCAGAAUAAUUGCCAUCUUCAUUUGGGGAGGGAAAUAAUUACUUCCUUCGUGACACGAAGUCAAUUUUGGUCCUGAACCAGAGGGACAGACUGACAGAGGGAAUUUCAAAGAGAGUGAAAACAAGGCUGGCAUUUGGAGGCUGCAAUUAAGGACACCAGGGGGGUUCUCACCCUUCUUUUUUUGCACAUCAGAUCAGAGAACUUGUAAGAUGGGCUGGCUGCUCUGCUUCAGGCUGGGGGGAGAGCAAAGGCCUGCCUUAACUUUUCUACUUUUUGCCCAAAUAUUCAAAGAUGCACCUUUUUUCCCCCCUUUGCCAUGGGAGCAGGGUCAUUUAAUGGGGUCCCUCGGAGAGCUCCACCAUGGGAGCAUGGCCACGACAUAAAAAAUGCUCCCGGGAGCAGGGAUCCUGCAACAGGGACACGAAAACCCAAAUAAAUCAUCAGGUGGUUCCUUUUGUAGGGUUUCUCUGCUCCAGGGCAGCCCUGGCUAAGUGGCAGCGGGUCCCUGCCGAGGGCUGCACACAUCCCCGGAGCAAGGGGGAGGCCGAGAUCCAGCCCGGCUAAUUGAUGCUGAAUUAUGUGUAUAAAAAAAUAAAUAAAAGGAAAGCAAAGCGGGUGGUUCUAUAAACAUACAUAUUUUUCACAAUCCGCACCAAACUGAUUGAAGCCAGUGUCAGGGGUGAUAUAUGGUAGCAAAUUGAUGAAACAUUGAUGCCGGGGAUGAAUAUUUCAGGAGGAGCUGUAUACAUCGUACGGCACUCUUCUUAAAUCUUUAACCAGUGUUGGGUAACCUUGAGAGGGGUGUUUGUAAGUUUAUUCGUGGUGAGGCGCCACAAGUAAAGAGCAAGGGCGAAGGGACCUGAAUUUGGCUUUUGCUUUGCUUGGGCUGUUUGUUUGGUGCCAGGCAUUUCCCCCAUGCCCAAAGCAGGAACCAAGCGAGGGACCAGCACUUCUCGGUGACAUUUAGGAGGUGCCCUGGGCUCUCUGCAUUCGCCUCUCUGAAAUGUGCUUGUUGAGUUUGGAAAUGAGCAGCACUCAAGGUUUUUUUUUGUAAAACCUCUAAGAAUAAGUGUUGUGUUUUUUUUUCGUGGAAGCAGCAUCACCAGGAGGAUGCGGUUUGGAGGGGUUUAUUUGUUUUAUUUCCAGGGUGGGGAGAGAGAGGAAAGGUUUGCCGUUUUUUUUUUUUUUUUUUUUCCUCGUUUUGAGGAACUGUUUUGAUUUUUCCUGAACAAAACCCAUGUUAUUGUAGCACAGGGAGCGCCUUCCCGUGCGCAGGACCUCCUGCCGCACCGGCUCCGUGCCUCCUGCCCAGGACAGCUCACACCACGCACGGGGAAGCCUCUCCUACCACUGACACCAUCUCGUAGCACUUUCCAGCCUUUGGGUGCUUUUCUUCCUCCCCUUCCACGCUGAAAGCUGCAAGUCGAGCCCCUGAGGCACUCACGUAGCGCCAAGAAAUCCCUGCUGUAUGUCUUUUGAGAGCGGCAGUGAUGCAGCCCUUGGGGCAGAUGGACACAGCUCCAAAACCUGCCGUUUUUGGGGUGCUCCUCACUGUUGUAUCAGCCCAGAGCCGGCCACUGCCUUUUGGGAAGAAAUGCCAUUUGGGACGUGAAGAUGGCAAGCGGUCCAGGGAGCCAAAUUGCAGGCUUGAACUUGUAGAACAUUACUGCUUGUGAAUUAUGGAUAGCGAUUGCACCUCCUGGACAAUAAAUUAUUGAGCUGACAUGCUGGAUGGAGACCACAUGCUGGUGCCCUGCGGAUGAGGGGAGAUGUUUGGCGCCCCCCCGCUCCUCCUGAAGCUGCGGGAGCCCACCCAGUGCCACCGAGUUCCCCACGAGGACAGCCAUGGGUAACAAUCCCAGCUGA